rfam:Triticum aestivum genome assembly, contig: Triticum_aestivum_CS42_TGACv1_scaffold_129833_2BL
CUGCAUGAGUUGCUUUCUACUGUAAAUAUGGACAAAUAAUAAGAUUGAUGGAAUUUAGGUGAGCAUCAUGUGUCAUAGAUGCUCAUAAAGAACCAGCACACAUAC